UACGGAGGGGGCUAGCGUUGUUCGGAAUUACUGGGCGUAAAGCGCACGUAGGCGGCUUUGUAAGUUAGAGGUGAAAGCCCGGGGCUCAACUCCGGAAUUGCCUUUAAGACUGCAUCGCUAGAAUUGUGGAGAGGUAAGUGGAAUUCCGAGUGUAGAGGUGAAAUUCGUUAGAUAUUCGGAAGAACACCAGUGGCGAAGGCGACUUACUGGACACAUAUUGACGCUGAGGUGCGAAAGCGUGGGGAGCAAACAGG
rnacentral:rRNA from 1 species